AGGACUUUAUCUUAAUUAAAGAGUCUGAGUUGCAUUCAGAAGAUGUAGAUUAGUAUUUUGCAAGUCCUA
rnacentral:tRNA from 1 species